CCAGCUAUACAGCUACCUUAGUUAUCCUACUGUCUUUAACCUGCCACUGUGAUAUACUUUCAGGGUGUUGUAGUAUAUGAUGCAGUACAUUAAUGCCUUAGGCAGUAAAUCAUUGGUUUAGGUAUGAUAACCUCACAUGCAUACAAUGAUUUUUCCACUAACAUGAUAUGAAUGGUUUGGUUCAUGUAGUCAAUGUUACACCUCUUUCAGGGCAGCUGAAUAGGAAAGAUUUCACAUUUACAUCACGUAUCGGAGGUACAUUGUUCUGGCAAUUAGUGGUUUCCAAAACAUGUCAUGGUUACAUAUUUAUCAAGUACAGUGCUUUAUGCAAGAAAGCAACCAUCGUUGCAUGGGGUGAGCAUGCCAGUGCGCUGUUGGCGUACAGGCAAUCUAUAUAUUGAAGUACUUCAAAAUAAACUUGGUGCACAUCACAUUAUGUUUCCUAAGUAGUUUUACAACUUAAACACUGAACUGCCAUUUUUAUCUAACUUUGAACCGCAAGAGCAUCAGCAACUUAGAUCUCCUUCUCUCUCAUCUAUGCAUGUAAAUGGUGUUCUUCUCUUUUUUAUUUUACUCUGCCUACAACUGAACCAUCUAUGUACUGUGAGGUCCCUUUCCCAUGGAUGACAUAACUCAAUUGUGCAUCUGCGGAGUCUCUGCUUUCUUGACUAUUCCAGGAAUGAUACACACUGAGUAAUAGAGAUAUGGCAGGUAUGUUGAUUAAUUCCUGCAAUCAGGGUCAUGUCAAAUAUUCACAGCUGGCAAGUGAAGUAUAGGGACAAAACGGCUUAUACCAGCUAGCCACCCUUCUAUAUAUAUGGUUGUUUUGGUAUUUUUCUAAUACACUGAUUUUAUCUAUAGAUAAUGUUAAUCAUAUUUUUGGUUGUUCAGGGACAGUAAAAAUUGAGUGUAUGCACAACCUACCAUUUCCCCCCCAUCUUUAGUAUUUAAUUUAGUGGCCGACCCUUAGUUGAUCCUCCAUAUCGUGUUUAUGUGAUGCUGAGGACAGAGGUAGAUAAUUACUUAAGCGAUCUGUGACCACUGAUCUACCUGAUGAUCCUGCAAGAAGCCACAUGCCCACUCAAGACAUCCUUGAACCAAUCAACCCAGACCUAGGCUGAGGUACACUCCCACACUGACACUUCUCAUACUGCUUAUAGCUAAUCCAGCUUCAAUAGACCAUCCCCCACCUCAUAUUUUUUGUAUACAUGGAAACAAACAUGGCAACCGACAGCAAAAUAAGGUAAAAUACAUGGCGCGAUCAACUGGAUCGGUGAAAAGAAGGCAUACAUUUACAAAUUAUGUAUGAUUGCACCAGUGUCUGAAUCCAUAUAUUCGUUGUUCGCAAUGCAGGCUGCGAGAAGAGAAGAAAUAGACCAAAGAAUUGCUCCCAGAUAAAUAAGCCAUCGCCCUUAUCCAGGUAUGGAAGUUAAUAAAGGCCAUGGGACUGCAAGAACUAGCCAUCCAGAGAACCUGUAUUGAAGAAGUCAUUUUCUCUGCAAUGGCCCAGCCGCAACACAAAUGCAGGAUAUGAGCCACCCUUCCAGCAGCUCUACAACAGAGUGAACAGACCAUUGGGCUACUCGCUACUGUAAUAUUGAGUACCUCAAGUGGCAUGUAUAAUUGCAGAUCCCUCUCUUAGUUUUACCAUCACACCUGCUAGACUAAGCCAUCAUUCUCUCCUCCAACGAUAGAAGUGACUACUGAUGUCUUAGAAAGUGGCAAAGCUAUACAUAUUACCAUCUUACUUUACUGAAUCCUUCAUGUUUUGGCUAUCAAGAGUAUGUUCUGCUUUGGGGCAAGUAUCUAUGGUUUGUCGUGCUCUCUUUGUGUAGGCCAAGUCGAUGAACCAUGUAAUAAAAUUAUUAUAAACAUUGUUGGUUGCUCC